rnacentral:misc_RNA from 1 species
GUUGAUCUCAGCAUCUCAGUAAACUGGCUCGAUGAUAUUAAUAUGCUUUCUUCACUUAUUGAAUUGAACCUAUCUGCUUGUAAACUUCACAACCUUCCUCAAUCUCUACCACGCGUGAAUUUCUCUUCUCUGAAAAUCCUGGAUCUUUCAUUUAACAGUCUUAAUGGCACAAUACCCGAUUGGCUUUUUGAAAUUGACCAGAGUCUUGUUUCUCUAUAUCUAAGAAGAAAUGAGUUUCAUGGUUCCAUUCCUGAAGCUUUUGGAAACAUGACUUCUUUGAUUGUACUCGAC